rnacentral:rRNA from 1 species
AGCGAACGCUGGCGGCAGGCCUAACACAUGCAAGUCGAACGAACUCUUCGGAGUUAGUGGCGGACGGGUGAGUAACACGUGGGAACGUGCCUUUAGGUUCGGAAUAACUCAGGGAAACUUGUGCUAAUACCGAAUGUGCCCUUCGGGGGAAAGAUUUAUCGCCUUUAGAGCGGCCCGCGUCUGAUUAGCUAGUUGGUGAGGUAAAGGCUCACCAAGGCGACGAUCAGUAGCUGGUCUGAGAGGAUGAUCAGCCACAUUGGGACUGAGACACGGCCCAAACCCCCACGGGAGGCAGCCGGUGGGAAUCCUGCGGCAUGGGCCGAAGGCUGAAGGAGCCCUGCCGGGUUAAUUAUGAAGGUCCUAGGAUUGGAAAAUUCUUUCACCGGGGACGAUAAUGACGGUACCCGGAGAAGAAGCCCCGGCUAACUUCGUG